AUGAGCACAUAUUUCUUUAAUAAUAAAAUGAAGAAAACAAUCUUAUUGCCGGGCGCGGUGGCUCACGCCUAUAAUCCCAGCACUUUGGGAGGCCGAGGCGGGUGGAUCACGAGGUCAAGAGAUCGAGACCAUCCUGGUCAACACGGUGAAACCCCGUCUCUACUAAAAAUACAAAAAUUAGCUGGGCAUGGUGGUGCAUGCCUGUAAUCCCAGCUACUCAGGAGGCUGAGGCAGGAGAAUUGCCUGAACCCAGGAGGCAGAGGUUGCGGUGAGCCGAGAUCGCGCCAUUGCACUCCAGCCUGGGUAACAAGAGCGAAACUCCGUCUCAAAAAAAAAUGGCUCAUAAGCAUCGUGCCGAUAGGCUGUCUCGUGUUCCUAAGCGCAAGAGGCUAUGGUGUGUCUCAUGGAGAAAACCUGUGUGUUAGAUGAGCUUCCUUCAGGCAUGAGCCACAGUGCUAUUGACAUAGUUCAAUGCUAGUGAGUCAGCAAUGUAUAUUGAAUAAGGUAUCUGUAACCAAAAGCACGCAUCAACAAGGUUUUGUGUUGACCGGUUAAUGAAAAUUCAGGAACCUGAGUGUGUUAACCUUUUCUUUUUCAUUUUCUGUAUUUGCGAUGCUUUGACAUUUGAGAAUGUGCUGAUCCCAGAAAGCCUGCCUUUUCCAGGGCCAGCUAGUUCCUAGAGAUUGAAACAACGUCCCUGGGACUGCGACUCUCUUAUGCAAACCAGUCAGUCCAGACCCCACACCCUUCAACUACCACCUGCGUGGAGCUCCCACAAGUGACCUACAUCCCCCCUGCAGUCCAGGUACAGACAACUAGUGGCAGUUACACCUGAGAGCCCCUGAGAGUGUUCCAAUUAGCCAAUCUGAAGGCUGCCUACCCCCAACUCCUGGUUCCGUCCCUCCCAAGGAAACCAUGCCACCGCACCUGGCUAAUUUUUGUAUCUUUAGUAGAGAUGGGGUUUCACCAUGUCAGUCAGGCUGGUCUCAAAUUCCUGAGCUCAGGUGAUCCAGCUGCCUUGGCCUCCCGAAGUGCUGGGAUUCCAGGCGUGAGCCACCGCACGUGACCCCGUUAUCACUGUUUUAACCCUAACUUGUACACCACCAGGAGAUACAGUGGCAGCUUCCUUCGUGACCAGUUUCUCCCUUUCAGUCACCCUAGGCUAUGUAUCCCUGGACAUGUAGGCUGUGUCCCUGGCAAUCUCUCUCUUCCAAUACCAAUCCACAAGCAUUCCAUCUUGCCCAGGGUGAAGGAGGCUAUCCAGCUAAUUCCCCUUCUUGCAGGACUCGGCAUUACAGCCCCGAGGGGAACCGGAAUUGCCUCCUGAACCUAGAGCCAGCUCUGGAAGGGAAUCGCCAACAACAUUGAGGCCAUGGCUAAAACCUUCACAACUGGGCAAGAACAGAGCGAGUCUCCAGCAGCUGUCGUCCUCAGAAAUCGCUGAGGGCCAGGCAUGUCAGUGGCAGCACAGGGAGGAAUU
rnacentral:lncRNA from 1 species